UUGGAACUUCUGCUGGAGAGGAGUCUGCUGAGAGCUUUGCUCAUCUCUUGUCUGGCAACUCAUCGUCUUCAUCUUCUUCAACAGUCUGCGAGCACCAAGAAUGAAGUAUUGUUUGGUGGACCAGCCCUCGUUCAGGUGGCCAGAAAAAACGGCAAACCAGAUCUUCAUCUUUUGGAAGAGAGGCGAAGUCCAAAGUAGCAAAAUCUGAUUUUUCUGCGUGCAUUCUGACCCCUGUGACCCCCUAAAAUCAGGGACCACAUGCUUGCUGGCCAUUUUAUUUCACACAGGAAAUGCUGGAAAAUGUCUGGACCCUGUUUCCCCAAGGUAGCGGAAAAGGAAGAAAGAAAGGAUGGAUGGAGGAAGGGGGGAAAUACGCCCUGUUCUGGCUUAUGGUUCCACAUUUUAAACUUCUGAGUUCUGAGCAAUUAUCUUAAACAACCUUCUCUGAAGUCAUUACUACCUCUAAUAUCAAGAGUAUAUACAGGAAAAAAAAGUCUAGUAAAAUGCAGGAUUUUAGUAUCCUGCUAAGUUCUGUUGUUACUUAGCAUGCUAAUUCAUGCUAAUUCAUGUUAACUCUUGCAAGUUUUAAAAUAAACAGUUGGCUAUCAUGCUAAAGAUGCUUCUUCUUAAAUAUCCUGAACGUUACAGUACCUACAAGGCUGAAGCCGAACAGCUAAUUAUCUUCAUACUUUAAUAGUGUAAAUAGCUAGCUAGUGGGUGAAACAUGUUUCCACUAUAUAUGGAUUGAAUUGAAUUGUAUCCUGAAAACUUGUACUUUCUAAAUCGUGCUGUGUUCACAAGUAAAGAGAGUCACAAUGACUGAGAUAAGAGUUCAUUUUCAAUGAGAAUCGGGCAUCAGUCUCCUGAUUUGUUUUCACAAUCAAAAGUAUAUUAAUGGUUGCUCCAGUUACCGACAACAGCAAAUGCUACGGCAGCAACAGGAGAAUCGCUUCAUGUGCGAACCUUGUAUUUUAUCGAAGCAGUACUAUUACAGUGAAUAACUUAAU